GGAAUCUUGCGCAAUGGGCGAAAGCCUGACGCAGCGACACCGCGUGGAGGAUGAAUGUCUUAGGAUUGUAAACUCCUUUUAUCAAGGAAGAGAACGGACGGUACUUGAUGAAUAAGGUUCGGCUAACUACGUGCCAGCAGCCGCGGUAAUACGUAGGAACCGAGCGUUGUCCGAAUUUACUGGGCGUAAAGAGCGCGUAGGCGGUUUAUUAAGUCUCAUGUGUAAUCUCCCGGCUCAACUGGGAGGGGUCAUGGGAUACUGGUAGACUUGAAGAUAGCAGAGGAAAGCGGAAUUCCCGGAGUAGUGGUGAAAUGCGUAGAUACCGGGAGGAACACCAGAAGCGAAGGCGGCUUUCUGGGCUAUUCUUGACGCUGAGGCGCGAAAGCGUGGGGAGCGAACCGGAUUAGAUACCCGGGUAGUCCACGCCCUAAACGAUGGAUACUAGAUGUUGGAGGUAUAGACCCCUUCAGUGUCGAAGUUAACGCGAUAAGUAUCCCGCCUGGGGAGUACGGCCGCAAGGCUAAAACUCAAAGGAAUUGACGGGGACCCGCACAAGCAGCGGAGCGUGUGGUUUAAUUCGAUGCAAAGCGAAAAACCUUACCUAGGCUUGACAUGUUUCUGAAAGCCCCCGAAACGGGGCCCUCCUUCGGGACAGAAUCACAGAUGUUGCAUGGCUGUCGUCAGCUCGUGUCGUGAGAUGUUGGGUUAAGUCCCGCAACGAGCGCAACCCCUGUCGUUAGUUACUAUGUCUAACGAGACUGCCCCCAUUGGGGAGAGGAAGGUGGGGACGAGGUCAAGUCGUCAUGGCUCUUACGCCUAGGGCUACACACACGCUACAAUGGUCGGAAACAAUGGGCUGCAACAGCGCGAGCUGAAGCGAAUCCCCAAAGCCGAUCUCAGUUGGAAUUGUAGGCUGCAACUCGCCUACAUGAACGUGGAGUUGCUAGUAACCGUAGGUCAGCACACUACGGUGAAUACGUUCUCGGGUCUUGUACACACCGCCCGUCAAGUCAUGGAAGUCGGUAACGCUUGAAGUCGUUGGGCCAACCCUUUGGGAGGCAGACGCCGAGAGUGGGACUGGUGACUGGGACUAAGUCGUAACAAGGUAGCUGUAGCGGAAGCUGCGGCUG
rnacentral:rRNA from 1 species